CUACUUCUGUGUUUCAUAAUGAUUGGGUUUUCACACUUAUAUGUGAGAUGUGCCUCCCUCAAAACUUGUUAGGAGUAGUGGCUAGACAUAUUACCUAUCUGACU